GCGCCCGUAGCUCAGGGGAUUAGAGCACAACCCUCCGAAGGUUGGGGCCGCACGUUCGAUUCGUGUCGGGCGCACCA
rnacentral:tRNA from 1 species